AGUGAACGCUGGCGGUAGGCCUAACACAUGCAAGUCGAACGGCAGCACAGUAAGUGCUUGCUCUUACGGGUGGUGAGUGGCGGACGGGUGAGGAAUACAUCGUAAUCUACUUUUUCGUGGGUGUUAACGUAGGGAAACUUACGCUAAUACCGCAUACGACCUACGGGUGAAAGCAUGGGAUCUUCUCACCUUGCGCGUUUGUAUGAGCCGAUGUCGGAUUUGCUAGUUGGGGGGGUAAAGGCCCACCAAGGCGACGAUCCGUAGAUGGUCUGAUUGGAUGAUCAGCCACACUGGAACUGAGACACGGACAAGACUACUACGGGAGGCAGCAGAGGGGAAUAGUGGACAAUGGGCGAAAAGCUGAUACAGAAAGACCGAGUGGGUGAAAAAGGCCGGCGGGUUGGAAAGCCCUUUUGUUGGGAAAGAAAAGCAGCAGGUUAAUACCACGCUGUAGUGACGGUAACCAAAGAAUAAGCACCGGCUAACUUCGUG
rnacentral:rRNA from 1 species